rnacentral:sRNA from 2 species
GGGCCCGAGAUGCCCCACCGGAUGGCUGGGGGAACCACUACUGACCGGCAGCGAUGCGGGUCUUGGGGUGCAGCCGCACUGCGGCAGGGAACCUGACCUCCCUAACCCGACAGCUCACCUCAGCGGCGCCAGUCAGGAAAGGA